GACGAACGCUGGCGGCGUGCUUAACACAUGCAGGUCGAACGGAAAGGCCUCUUUCGGGGGGUACUCGAGUGGCGAACGGGUGAGUAACACGUGAGUAACCUGCCCUUGACUUUGGGAUAACUUCAGGAAACUGGGGCUAAUACCGGAUAGGAGCUCCUGCUGCAUGGUGGGGGUUGGAAAGUUUCGGCGGUUGGGGAUGGACUCGCGGCUUAUCAGCUUGUUGGGGGGGUAGUGGCUUACCAAGGCUUUGACGGGUAGCCGGCCUGAGAGGGUGACCGGCCACAUUGGGACUGAGAUACGGCCCAGACUCCUACGGGAGGCAGCAGUGGGGAAUAUUGCACAAUGGGUGGAAGCCUGAUGCAGCAACGCCGUGUGCGGGAUGACGGCCUUCGGGUUGUAAACCGCUUUCGCUCAUGACGAAGCUUUGUGUGACGGUAGUGGGUAAAGAAGCACCGGCUAACUACGUG
rnacentral:rRNA from 1 species